GUUCUGUAGAAGUUAAAUAUACUUUAGUCAAAUGAGAGACUAACCUGCUGUCAGGCUGGGGAAGCUUGAACAAGGCCUUCAUUCAUGACAGCUCCACUUGGCUUUUUGACGAGUCCCCAUUUAGAUGCAGCACGUCAGAGACUGAAGAGCAGGAUGAAGGCUAAAUUCUCUCAAGAAAGAAGUUGCCUCUUACCAUGUCACAAGCAAUUAGUUUCACCCAAAAAGGAGGAGGACCCCUCUCUGCUCCCCGUGUUAAAAAACAAUACACCGCCUCACAGGCCAGAGCCACAGCCUUCUUCUCUCUGCUGG